ensembl:lncRNA
ACAUUUUCCAUUCCUUCAUGUUGUGAUUAUCUCUGAAUCACGUUCUGUAUGAAGCUGUACUCACUUAGUCUCCCAAGACUUUUUUUAAUACAAUUUUUUUUUCCCAUUUAACAGCACUCAGGUCUUGCAGCACAUCAGACUAAAUCAUCAUUAUCGUCUUUGGAUUUCUUUCUGUCAUUUCCAGUGUUCCUUCACUUCUUGGCACAUUCUAUCCCUCUGUAACCUUUAAAGAAGAAGUGAAAAACAGGACACGUUUUUUUUCUUUUUCACAGCUCUCCUUAUUUUUGUGUUUGUUUGGGAUUUUUUCUACAAUUUCACUAGCAAGGUGCUAGUUGAAAGUACGGCUUUCUGUGAGAGCUGGGGAAAAAAUCACAACGUAAUUCCCCACGGCCUCCAGUUGCCUCAUGACCACGCUCCUAUCCUGCCCUGACCCUGUGCUGACGGACUCCUGAGAGCCUGCAGGGGCAGAGUGCUGCAUCACCCCAUUGCCACCUCUUUCCAAUGGGCAUCUGUCCACAUCAGUGGCUGCAGGAGAACCAUCAGCAAUCCUGGAGCAGCUCUUUGAGUUCCCCAGGCUGUGCUGCCAGGGAGUUUCAGCUUCUGGGAAAGGCCUCAGCAAGGAAAAGCUUUCAGCAUUCUCAAAGUCAUCUAAUUGUUCAGGACAUACUGAGUAUCUGCACUUACAGAAAUCAUGUUCAGGUGGAGCUCCCUUGAAGGCAAGGCACCGGGAAGCCAAGAUGAGUUUUCAGAAACCGGUGGUGCCUUCCUACUGAUAGGACCGAAUCCCAGCACGGAGCCAUCGCCACAGGCAGGAGGAUGACAAACAGGAGGCACAACAGGUUGCACCAAAAAGAAGCAGCUUUUCAGUUCAGAGGAAAUAGCUGGUUAGUGCACACGGACAACUUCUCACUUCAGCUGUAUGGGCUUUCCAGCACCUCAAGAGAUCCCACAGUUUUUGUUUUGAUAAACAAGAUGCCAUCCACCAUCUGCCAUCUCCCAUUGCCUCUGUCAGGAAGAACAGUUUGGAGAAUUCUUCCAACUGGAAGAGUCUCAGCUGUCUCUGCGCUUCAACACUAUCCUUUCACAUAAUCUUCAAAGAUCUGUCCACAAGCUCUGAAAUGUUAGCAUGGAAAAGCAAAUAAAAAAAAAAGAGAGAGAGAGAGAGAGAGAGAGAUCUGACCUUGAAGAUUUAGGAUUGGUUUUGCUUUUAAAACUAAGGAAAAAAAAAUACCUGCAACAAAGCAGAAAAAUAGAAUUAUAACUUUCUUAUGAGUUACAAGCUGCAUCAUUUUUCCCAGGGCCUGACAGUCAGGCUUGUUUUUUCCUUCUCACACAACAGUACCAGGCAGAGAUCCCAUCAGCCAAAAGCCACUUCAAAUCCCCCAAGCAACCCUCUUUUCAGAGCAUUUCCUUUCAUGCACAUGAGAUGUAAGGAGAGCUCAGGAAGAUCCUCCGAUGAAAGCCUUCCUCCCAAGUUGUCGCCUUUGAAGAAGAGCCCCAGUGCCACUGAAGCUCCACUGGAAUUUGCCCUUUCCCAUGAUUCACAAUGGGGAUGUGAUGCAAUUUCCGAGCCAUGCUCCCUCUGGAAUAUACCACACAGAGUCUGAGUUCAGGUGGGGCCGUGCAUCUUUCAGAACCGUUCACAUGGCUGACCCACAUGUUGAUAAUUUGCAGUGAGCCAGGUGGGAUUAUCUGUGGUAUAGUUGCAGCUGGUGGCAGCACAGCCAGUAGGAGAGCACCGUUACUGCUUCAGCAUUAACAAGAAAUGGUGCCAAAGGCUGGCUGCGAUCAUGUAAAUAGCUCAUGGAGGGGGGCCAUGAGGAUUAUGACUACCUGGUGCUGCAGAGUGGAUGCCACCUGAGAAAAGAUGCUCAUGCCCACAGGGGAGAGUGCUUGCUGCCAGCAUGGAUAUGGGGUCAGUGCAGCUCCUGCCCUGCACAGCAGAAUGUUGGACUGCAGGGCUGGCUGAGCUGCAGCCAGCUCCCAUUGCUGUGCGAGGCAAUGUUUAAAAAAUAGAAUCAACACAUCAAACGAUGUGUCAUGUAAGUUUUCCAUGUCAAGGAAAAUAGCCCGAGGCCCUUCUUCCCACAUUUGCCGCUACAACAGCCAGACAACCUGGCCCCAAAAUUUAUUCUGGUCUUUAAUCAGGAAAAAUCCCUGUGAUCUCUGAGGUUGGGCUUCACGGUUUUGGAAAGAGAUGAUGUGGUUCACUAAAAGGAAGGCGCUUGCCCACUGUUCUUGAGGUCUGUGGUCACUGUGAGAGUUGCACUCAUUGUGCACCACCUGCAGAAAAAGUGGAAAUGCUCUCAUUUGCCCCAGUUGUCUCUGUGCAGUAAACAUCCAGCAUAGCAGCUUCAGAGCCAUUACUCAUGCUAUGUUUCCCUCUGUAUACACAAAAGCAGAUGCUAUCCAGCACCCGGAUGACCCCAAGUUCUGCUUUCAUCCUGAGCUAGUUUUGUUUUAUUUUUUCUCCAUGCUCUUCAUGCUGAGGUUUACCUUUCCCCAUGAUUUUGUUGCCCCAAGAACAAAGCUGGCCCUCCACAAACCAUGCACAGUGAGGCUGUGUAGGAUGUGUGCAUACUCUUACUGUUGAUUUUAGUUUCCUAAUUUAGAGCACAAAUACAAUGUCCAAGUGGCCAGAGCGAGAUUACUCCUCCAUGCACAUCAUCCUUCCCUUUGCACCUCAGGUAGCCAUUGCACAUUUCCUUUGACUCGGACUACAGUGAGAGAUUGGUUUUGCCUUUAGGAUGGGGCAGCAGCACAGAGGUGCCAACUCAAGGUGUAGGACUAUCACAGGGCUCUCAGCACUCUGAGCCAUUCAUGGCUCUUGCAAGAUCACACCUUGCAGGAAAGAUAAACCCAGAUAUGAUCUUGGGUUUAAAACCCAAGCCCUAAACAGGCUUUGAGGCCAAUGCACAAUUUCUCAAGCAGGCAAUAUGGUUUUCUUGUAUAUAUAAUAAACCUCAGUCAUCGGGAUUGCUGUGAGCUGCCACAAUGCAUACUCUCCCGUGGUGCAGCCCUGGUCGCUCCCACUGAUGUGUGCUAUUUCUGAACUAAAGCAUAAGGUUUAUCAUCCCUGCUGUUCUACCCUGCAAGCAGGAGUAAAAAAGGUCGACUACUGUGUUCAGGCAGCAUCAAAUUACUGUAAAACAAGUGAGAUACUGCAGCGAUAUAUGGCGAGUCUCGGCAUCUUCACUUCUUUCAGGCUUGCAUUAUAAAUGGGUCACAAACUGUUGCUUUCAUAAUAGAAAGAUGAGCCAUCAACUCACUCAUCCCUUCCAAAUUAAUAUUCAGUGAGGAUUUGCAAAUGAAACUGUUUCAUACCUGGGCAUGCCACGGAGCACCUGGAGUGCUUUGUCUGAGCUAUGUAAUGGGGAGUUCGGUGUCGUAAAGCAAUUUACAGGCUGUCCUAGGGCUUCUUCUGAUAAAAACGAUGACAGUAUGCACAGCUAGGCAGAGGAUAAGUGUUACAAUGAAGUCUGGGCUGGACAUAGGAGAGAAAUUUGGCACUUCUAAUCAGUUUUUUUGUCUCCCAAACCCAAAGAUCUCUUACAUGUCACCCAAACCUGGCCACACAGAGUCACCAGGGUCAGGCUGCCGUUCUUCCACUGCUCACACCAAGCUCCAGGUUCAGCCAGGUGGUGCUUCCUCCAUCAGCACUGACCAAUAUCAGCACCAAUAUCUGCCCUUCUGUCAGAGGAGAAACACCUUUAUCUUCUCAGGCUGAAAGAGAGCCACUCAAUAGAUCUGCAUCUACAGACUGCAGCAGUCUUCUCAUCCAUCUGUCGAAAUGUGCAUACCUGGCUGCGUCGGAGGCCACAGAUACAGCACUCAGCUGGAGAUGACUGUGGUGAUGCUGGGAGAUGCUGUUGGAGCAGCCCCAUGGGGGCCCCCAGCCCUGACCUGUGCUCAUCGCGGCUGAUGGAGAUGCCUCGAGCAGGAGCUCACGUCUGGCGGAGCCCGGUGGCAAAUUGGAAGAGCUCUUCCCAGAGUGAGAAAGAAGCUAAUUUCUUACUAAUUAUUUGCCAAACAGCAUGUAAUUAAAUAGCGCAGAACUGUCGACAAUGCAUCUUUGGGUCUUUAGGCCAUAUUUUUCCUGUUCGUGGCACGCUCCUCCAGCGCUUCAAGGCUACUGCAUGCUGCAGAGCAGCGGAGGAGCAGAGUGAUAAUUGAACAAUUAACAAGUGAUGUCAUAAAACAUUGUGCUUAAAAUAAAAUGCGUAAUUAAAAUAACUGAAGCACAAAAAAAGAUGCAACGGCGUACAGAAAAAGCACACACACUAAAAAAAAUAAAUAAAAAAAUCCUUGAGAAUAAGUAAGUCCCAUGUAGGAACUAAAAUAUGCCAUUUAAAGGGAAAAAAAUAGCACCAGAGUGGUUAAGCAAAGACGUGGAGUAAACUAGCAAGCAAUGAUGAUUUGCCAAAAACUAUACUAAUGUUGCAAAAGAAGUAUUCUCUGUAGUUAACAAGUUUGGGCCAUAAAACAGUCCUUCGGUGGCUCCCUGUGUCAUUAUUUGCUACCAAGACACUGUGCUGAUGGGCUCCUCGGGAUCCGGCGUUAGAUCAGUAAGCAGGAAAGCAGAGGUCCCCCCAGAUUUCCUGCCUGGAGAGCUGUUAGGAUCGGCGCUAGUUCUUUAAAGAGCAGAGCUGCGUACAGUGCUGCACUCAAAAUGACCCCGUUAGGAAUAUAAUCUGCUACAAAUGAGACGUUUGGAGGGAAAAAUAACACAGGAAAGCCAAAAGAAAAGAGAGAGAAAAAAAAAGAAAGAAAGAAAAAAAAACAUGCCGGCUUGACUUCAGCUCAUCCUAACAAACGUGGUUUGUGAGGAGCCCCUAUCCUGCUCUUGGGAAGGCCAGAGAGGGAUUUAAGCAUCACCACCUCUCCAAGGCUGGGCUCAGGCUGCUGCUGCCCAGCAAGUGCCCAGCUGCAGUGCCUGUGCUCCUGUUCAUUCGCAGCAUGCACAGCCCUUUACUCCUGUUUCUCUGCUUUCCUUCAGCGUGUUAUUUCUUAAACUCUAGACACUAGCAGAGAUUUUAAAGCAUGAGGCAGACGUGCUUUCCAAGAAUAAUUGCUCUCUGGCUGCUGCACAGGAGCUCUGCUCAUGCAUUUCUGGGAGAUACUUGCAGACUGCUAACUGCUCUGGAAGCCUCCUCAGCCUUUGCUGCCUGCAAAUGGCAUUAUUAGUCGCUAAUAGCCUCAGCUCACCAUGUUGUCUCUUGGUUAGUUAGCAGCUAUUCUGCAAGUCAGAGGCAGGGAAAGAAGCACAUAUGUUUAAGCAGGAGCCAACUUCUGAUCUGUUAAAAAAAAAAACCUGGAAGGUUUCCUUAGAGCAAUCCCACCAUUAGGGAAGCGAUGAGUAAG